rnacentral:rRNA from 1 species
GUGUCAGCAGCCGCGGUAAUACAGAGGGUGCGAGCGUUAAUCGGAAUUAUUGGGCGUAAAGCGCAUGUAGGUGGCUAUAUAAGUUUGAUGUGAAAGCCCUGGGCUUAACCUGGGAAUUGCGUUGAAUACUGUAUAGCUUGAGUCGGACAGAGGGCGGUGGAAUUUCCGGUGUAGCGGUGAAAUGCGUAGAGAUCGGAAAGAACAUCGGUGGCGAAGGCGGCCGCCUGGGUCCAGACUGACACUGAGGUGCGAAAGCGUGGGGAGCAAACAGGAUUAGAUACCCUUGUAGUCC